rnacentral:lncRNA from 1 species
CUAAAGCUGUUCCUUCAGGGACCUUUUUUUUCCUCUCCUGUUGGCACAGCUGAGAUUCAACAGCUAUUGCAUACAUCAGGGAGGAAGCCAACAGGGAGCAAAAAGCAGCUUUUUGGCAGGAAGCAAAAGGAAGAAGCAGAAGAAGCAGAGGAGGUCUUAAGGUGCUCCAAAGUCUUUCUAUCCAGUUGUUCGGUUGCAGGAAGAGGCUGUAGGAUUUAAUGCUAUGGUUUAUGGAGAUCUCCCCAGUGCCUGGAGGAGAGCAGCUUCCAAGUGAUGCACCCAAGAUGUGACCAUUAGUAUGCUGAAAACUUCUGCCUGUCCAAAAUAUUUUCCAGCAAGCACAAAUCCUUUGGUAGUCUUAAGGGGAAAAGUUAAAUAUCAGUGAAUUAAUGAGAGGAGAGCCCUCUCUAUCUUUGUUGCAGUUCCUUGGGAGACGUCUGAUACCGCUUCUCCCUUGUGUAGGGUCAGAUGUAACACUUUUUAUCUGAAGUGUAAAAGAAAUAGGAGGAAGGUGUGGGAAAUCCUAGGGAUAGGUAGGAAGA